ACUGGUUAUAGUGCUAUACAGGAAACCUGGCAGCGCCGGAGCCGCGCGGUCGAGGAGGGAGCGCGGGACGCCGAGCCCACGCGCGCCUGCCGGGACAAGUGGAGACGAGGCCGGCGAGCGGACGCCCCGAGGUGCCCGGGCAGGCAGUGGGCCGCCGAGCGGGAGUUGAGGUGGGAGGUGGGGUGGGGGUGGGGAAAGGGGCAGGGUUGGGGAGGGAAGGGUGCGGCAGGUGGCGGGUCCGCACCCGGGAGCUCCGCGCGCCUGCUCCCCUUGUCUCCGUGCUGGGGCGGGAGCUGCUCGGGCCGCAUCCCACGGGGAGGAGAAGGUAGGCGAAGGGCUGCCCUCCCUCUGGAGGCGGGUGGGGAGCAGGCCCAGGCCCCUAGCGCCGACCCAGGCGUUGACGCCGCUGUAGCUUGCGUCGCCUGGGCAGUGGACGCAGGGGACCUCCUGGCGACGGGUGCGCUCUCGCGCUCCAGGGAUCCUCUCGGCCCCCACCAAUCCCUCCCCUUCUCUGUGUUCCCGCAGGUUGGCGAAGGAGCUGUGGCCGGGUCCCCUUCUUAUCCAGCCCGAGACACUGCGCUCCGGUGGGCGUCCCUGCGCUGGGAAUCCCUCUCGGAGUUUUUCCAGGCCCGGCCGGGUUGCUCCGGGAAAGGCCCUGUUGGGGGAGGUGGGCCCGGAGCUGGCAGGUCUACAAUCCGGUUGGAAGGGCUCGCAGUGGGUGAUUCAGGGUGCCAAUGACCUCCCCGCGAACGGGAACGCCCGCACUAGACAACCAGCCCCAGACCGGCAUUCCCAGAGCCGCAGGCGGGAGGGACGCAGGGACUCCGGGACAGCAAAUCCCCGGGGGAGAAGGGAAGGGGGAAGGCGGGACAGGGGAGGCCCACCCUCCUUGGGCUCCGCUAGCGACCAGCCAGCGCCCCUUCAGACGCAGCCUUCCUGGCUCCGGACCCCGGCUUUCUGCUCCGGUCCUCGUCCCAAUGCCCCCCAAGGUCCCCAGCAGAGGCAUUCAGGUUCCUCCUCGCCCCGCCCAGACGCAGCUUCUUUGGGUAUGGGUGACAGCACUCCUGAGCGUCGCUGUCCCUAUUCGCUGCCGUUGCCAGCUCCGAUUCCGCGAAACCUCUCCGGCACCACCUCGGAAGCCCCGCCCAGGGCGAUGGUCCGGGCCUAACCUGCCGGCCCCGCCCACCCGGCCCUUGGGCUCCCUGAGGCCCGCCCAGCAGACUCGAGGAACGCUUGACAAAGUGGCGAAGGAGCCCUACGGGAGUCCCGGAUUGGACCCUGCUCCUUCGGUCCCUCAGCCUCGGCAAGCCGCGGUCUCCUGGCCCUUGGCCUGGGUCACCUUAGGAGGCAGGAGGAGAUGUGGUCAGUGUGGGAGCUUGGAGGGGCCAUGCACUUCCGGAGAAGACCACCGACUCAUGGCUUUGGUGGAGGGGCGCCGGCAGAUUUAGUUAAGCUCUCCCCCAUCCCUGACACACCCAGCCGGGGCGGGAGCGGGGCUUGUGACCACUCCGGAGAGCUUUGAGGGCCCCUGCUUUGGGACUCCGCACGGACAGUCACUGUCUCAGAGUGCAUUCUCCAGGGGCCACUCUCUUGGGGACACUGUAGGGGUCACAGGGCAGGUGGGCAGCCUCUCUCGGGGGGCGGCGUGAGAGCCGGAGAGCAGGGGGCGGGGGCGGGCCCGGCUCGGGCUCACGUCUGCGUUGAAGCCGCUGGGGAAGGGGAGAGAAACCGAGAGAACCGGUUCCCCCGCCUUGACAGCGGAGGCCCCCACACCAAGGCCCUUGGACUAAGCGGGGCAGGGACAGCCUCCAGGUAGAGCUGUUCGCCGGGGCGCCUGCAGAGCCCGCAUCCCAACCCUGACCCCGGGGCCGGGGCGCAGGCUCCUGGAGGGAGGCGUCCAGGCGGGACAGGGCCCGGGGAGCGGCAGGAAAUGGGCUGCUCUUCCCACUUGACUGACGGGAAAACUAAGGCACGGUCAACUAUCAAGCAAGCGUGGUGUCGACCUUAGAGCAGGACUGAAGCGAGGCUGAAAUCUUAGAAUCAACCCCACGGAAUGAAGAGGUUGUCCUAAUUCCAGCACUGAGUGUAAGAAUGGAAGCCUUGCAUGUGAUUUUAUUCAAGUCCUCAUUUUAGAAAUGGGAAAACUGAGGCCCGAAGGCGAACGGAAAAUGCCGCGGCCGCAAUGGCGGCGGAUGUGGAGGGGGACGUGUACGUACUGGUGGAGCACCCCUUCGAGUACACCGGCAAGGACGGGCGCCGCGUGGCCAUCCCGCCCAAUGAGCGCUACCGGCCGCUGCGGCGCAGCACAGAGCACUGAGCAUUGGUGGCACGUGCGGCGCAAGCCCGGCGGCCGCCCCUUCUACCUGCCCGCGCAGUACGUGCGCGAGCUGCCUGCGCUGGGCAACCCUGCCGCUGACGCGCCGCCAGGUCCCCCCAUCGGGACCCGCAGCCCCUGAGCCGCUCGCCUAC
rnacentral:lncRNA from 1 species